UUGACCUCGGAUCAGGUAGGGAUACCCGCUGAACUUAAGCAUAUCAAUAAGCGGAGGAAAAGAAACCAACAGGGAUUGCCUCAGUAACGGCGAGUGAAGCGGCAAGAGCUCAAAUUUGAAAGCUGGCCCCCCCGGGGCCCGCGUUGUAAUUUGCAGAGGAUGCUUCGGGAGCGGCCCCCAUCUAAGUGCCCUGGAACGGGCCGUCAUAGAGGGUGAGAAUCCCGUCUGGGAUGGGGUGCCCGCGCCCGUGUGAAGCUCCUUCGACGAGUCGAGUUGUUUGGGAAUGCAGCUCUAAAUGGGUGGUAAAUUUCAUCUAAAGCUAAAUAUUGGCCGGAGACCGAUAGCGCACAAGUAGAGUGAUCGAAAGAUGAAAAGCACUUUGAAAAGAGAGUUAAACAGCACGUGAAAUUGUUGAAAGGGAAGCGCUUGCGACCAGACUCGCCCGCGGGGUUCAGCCGGCACUCGUGCCGGUGUACUUCCCCGCGGGCGGGCCAGCGUCGGUUUGGGCGGCCGGUCAAAGGCCCUCGGAAUGUAACGCCCCCCGGGGCGUCUUAUAGCCGAGGGUGCCAUGCGGCCAGCCCGGACCGAGGAACGCGCUUCGGCUCGGACGCUGGCAUAAUGGUCGUAAGCGACC
rnacentral:rRNA from 1 species